UCGAACAGAGAGGAGAAAGAAAAGGGUGAAACCCUAAUUCAUGAGCAGACCUUCAUAUUGAAAGGGGAAUUGAAGCCUAGUUGAAUGCAUGAACUAAGAAUGAUGAUCCUCUAAGCAUACCCAACAUCAAAAUUGAUUCAUGUACCGCACGAGCAUGGAAAGCAAGUGGUAAAGAAAAGAGGAAGCAAGGCAACGGAAGCAUGUACGAAACGGACACUCGAGGUUACGUGGAUUUAACAUCAUUAUGAAGGAUAGAAAGCUUGAAGAUCGAGUCAAGAGCAAAGGAUUGUACGGGAGAGAUCGGUCACAUAGUUUAGCAAAUGUAGGUCCGAAGUAUUAAUAUAAUGGAACGUGGUAAAUCCUUUUUAAUGAAUGUAUGACAUUUGAUAUUCGUACUUUCCUGUAAGUACUAUGUCUAUUAAAGAACGAAAUUUUGGGUUCA